UGACGGUACCUGACUAAGAAGCCCCGGCUAACUACGUGCCAGCAGCCGCGGUAAUACGUAGGGGGCAAGCGUUAUCCGGAUUUACUGGGUGUAAAGGGAGCGUAGACGGUCUGGCAAGUCUGAUGUGAAAGGCAGGGGCUCAACUCCUGGACUGCAUUGGAAACUGUUAGUCUUGAGUGUCGGAGAGGUAAGCGGAAUUCCUAGUGUAGCGGUGAAAUGCGUAGAUAUUAGGAGGAACACCAGUGGCGAAGGCGGCUUACUGGACGAUAACUGACGUUGAGGCUCGAAAGCGUGGGGAGCAAACAGGAUUAGAUACCCUG
rnacentral:rRNA from 1 species